GAGGGUAUAGCUCAAGUGGUAGAGUGCAUGCUUAGCAUGCAUGAGGUCCUGGAUUCAAUUCUCAGUACCUCCU
rnacentral:tRNA from 1 species